rnacentral:rRNA from 1 species
UACGUAGGAUGCAAGCGUUGUCCGGAAUUAUUGGGCGUAAAGCGCACGUAGGCGGCUUCUUAAGUUUGGUCUUAAAGACCGGGGCUCAACCCCGGGAAUGGACUGAAUACUGGGAGGCUGGAGGAUGUCAGAGGAAAGUGGAAUUCCCAGUGUAGCGGUGAAAUGCGUAGAUAUUGGGAGGAACACCAGUGGCGAAAGCGACUUUCUGGGACAUUCCUGACGCUGAGGUUCGAAAGCUCGGGGAGCAAACAGG